AUGGCUCAGGAUGAACGCUAGCUACAGGCUUAACACAUGCAAGUCGAGGGGUAGCAGGGUAGCAAUACCGCUGACGACCGGCGCACGGGUGAGUAACACGUAUCCAACCUUCCCAUAACUCAGGGAUAGCCUUUCGAAAGAAAGAUUAAUACCUGAUAGUACUUUUUCAAGGCAUCUUGAGAAAGUUAAAGAUUUAUUGGUUAUGGAUGGGGAUGCGUUCCAUUAGAUAGUUGGUGAGGUAACGGCUCACCAAGUCUUCGAUGGAUAGGGGUUCUGAGAGGAAGGUCCCCCACAUUGGUACUGAGACACGGACCAAACUCCUACGGGAGACAGCAGUGAGGAAUAUUGGUCAAUGGGCGAGAGCCUGAACCAGCCAAGUAGCGUGAAGGAUGAAGGUCCUAUGGAUUGUAAACUUCUUUUAUAGUAGAAUAAAGUGAUCCACGUGUGGAUUUUUGUAUGUAUACUAUGAAUAAGGAUCGGCUAACUCCGUGCCAGCAGCCGC
rnacentral:rRNA from 1 species